rnacentral:rRNA from 1 species
AGCGAACGCUGGCGGCAGGCCUAACACAUGCAAGUCGAACGAACCUUUCGGGGUUAGUGGCGGACGGGUGAGUAACACGUGGGAACGUGCCUUUAGGUUCGGAAUAACUCAGGGAAACUUGUGCUAAUACCGAAUGUGCCCUUCGGGGGAAAGAUUAAUCGCCUUUAGAGCGGCCCGCGUCUGAUUAGCUAGUUGGUUGAGGUAAUGGCUCACCAAGGCGACGAUCAGUAGCUGGUCUGAGAGGAUGAUCAGCCACAUUGGGACUGAGACACGGCCCAAACUCCUACGGGAGGCAGCAGUGGGGAACCUUGCGCAAUGGGCGAAAGCCUGACGCAGCCAUGCCGCGUGAAUGAUGAAGGUCUUAGGAUUGUAAAAUUCUUUCACCGGGGACGAUAAUGACGGUACCCGGAGAAGAAGCCCCGGCUAACUUCGU